CCUGACCACCUGUUUCAGGUAACGUGCUAACACGGCUCACGCUAGCGUCACCGCAUGUUAAUUAGGAGUUAAGGGCGUGGCUGUUUUGACUGAUUGGUGCUACCUGAUUGUGACACAGGCAGCUGGAGCCAACUGAGAUGUGCUAACCCUCACCUCUCCUUCAACUUGAAAUGGAUGGGCUGCUGGAUGUCUGUAGCUGAGCUGAAUGACUCAUCCAGAGCUGAACUACAGCUGGAUGAACAUCAGGCCGCUCAUCACGGCAAGCAGCAAUCAUCUGGACAGGCCUUUCCACUUUCUUCUUUUGAUCAGGAGACAAGCCUUUCAGCAUUCUGCAUUUAAUCCAGCAGCAAACACCUGGGAUGCAACGCCUCUUUCUCCACACUGUUUCAUAAAGGAGUGCUUGGAGUCUGUAUGUGCACAAGUCAGAUCUCCAUGCGGUUGGCUGCCUCCUCCAUCUCUUCCCUGAGGUGGUCGGCCUUGGCUCCUGUUGGCUGCAGGUUGCUGGACAGUCCCGAAGACUUGGUAGACUGAGAGUACCUGUGAGCAGAAGGUGUGACAUAAUGAAUGUGAAGGCUAACACAAGCAAAACAAACUGCUGUCUGCUGUCACGGAAACACGUGUGCUGCUAACAGUUCCUGAUGCUUGGCUGCAACUCUGCAUAUCUGCACGUGUAAGGAGAGGAGAAGGUCAGCUGUUUAUGUUGUGCUGACGUUUCCACUCGGGGGAUUUGGGCCUCGUAACGCAGCAUGACUGGGGUCACAGCUGAGGAAGGGAGAGGCUAACAAACACAUGGUUCAUAUUUUGGAAAUGCCUGACUCAAUGAAAUAAGCAGCUACAUGUUGUUGAUGGCCGUGUUUGCUCCAGGAAAAAAGAAGUGGGCAAACAGGAGAAAGAGAGCCACGUGUGAUGAGUCUAAACCUCACUCGUGAUUCAGCUUGCUCUUCUACCCUUCUCACUGCAGUUUGUUUUUUGUUAAUUGUUUGACACAUCAAGGGCACUACAGCAUCCUGAAUCAAAGCCUCAGCAACACAGUCGGUGCUUUACUGCAGCAUCAGCUUCUGGCGUCACAGCCGGGAUUCCCACCGGCACAGAGAGGCAAAGAGGGGGAGGCAGCGAGAGGUGAUGAAGAAUACAGAAGCAGAAGAAGAUAACAGAUGUGUAAAAGGGAUUUUUCAGUCAUAAAUCUUGUGAGGGGGAGCUGGAGUGACAGAAGUUGGGAAUACAGAGUGUUCUCCAAAAUGACUCAACUCUCUUUUCCCCCAUCUCGACAAAAAAAGUCUGUCUGAAAACUUUUUGCAAAGGUAGUGCAGCAAAAAGAGUUUCUCUGAACAGCAUUUGAGUUAAGUUAUAUCGCUAAUAAAGUGCAAUAACAGAAAAAGGGGGUUUUGGUAUGAAGCAAAAUGCUGAUUUGUUUGAGGGAGUGAAAAUAGAAGCAUGUGGACAUUUCUGCACAAUCCACAUUUCUCAAGCUAUAAGCAAAACAUUUACAAAGUGACAUUUUUUCUCGCUUUACUGGAGUUGUCUUUAACUGCCUGAAAAAUGUGAAAGCCCAAUCCAUCAGAGUCAUUGAGAGCAUUAAAACUUUAAUGAAACAACAUAUUAACAUCUUCCUCGAUUUUUCUCCGGUAAAUGCU